AAUCAACGCUGGCGGCGUGCCUCAGGCAUGCAAGUCGAACGCGAAAUUUCCCUUCGGGGAGAAAGUAGAGUGGCGCACGGGUGAGUAACACGUAGGUAAUUUGCCUUUGGGUGGGGAAUAACUCAGGGAAACUUGAGCUAAUACCGCAUAAUGCAGCGGCUCGACAUCGAGACAGUUGUUAAAGCGGGGGAUUGGAGCAAUCCGACCUCGCGCCUAAAGAGAAGCCUGCGGCAGAUUAGCUAGUUGGUAAGGUAAUGGCUUACCAAGGCGACGAUCUGUAACCGGCCUGAGAGGGCGGUCGGUCACACUGACACUGACAUACGGGUCAGACUCCUACGGGAGGCAGCAGUCGGGAAUUUUGGGCAAUGGGCGAAGCCUGACCCAGCAACGCCGCGUGAAGGAUGAAAUCCCUCGGGA
rnacentral:rRNA from 1 species